rnacentral:rRNA from 1 species
GACGAGGGUCCCUAGCGUUGUUCGGAAUCAUUGGGCGUAAAGGGUGUGUAGGCGGCUUCGAAAGUCAGAUGUGAAAGCCCCGGGCUCAACCUGGGAACUGCAUUUGAAACUGGCGGGCUUGAGUGUGGCAGAGGGGGGUGGAAUUCCGCAUGUAGCAGUGAAAUGCGUAGAGAUGCGGAGGAACACCGAUGGCGAAGGCAGCCCCCUGGGCCAACACUGACGCUCAGGCACGAAAGCGUGGGGAGCAAACAGG